rnacentral:sRNA from 1 species
UCCGUAGGUGAACCUGCGGAAGGAUCAUUACCGAGUGAGGGCCCUCUGGGUCCAACCUCCCACCCGUGUUUAUUUUACCUUGUUGCUUCGGCGGGCCCGCCUUAACUGGCCGCCGGGGGGCUUACGCCCCCGGGCCCGCGCCCGCCGAAGACACCCUCGAACUCUGUCUGAAGAUUGUAGUCUGAGUGAAAAUAUAAAUUAUUUAAAACUUUCAACAACGGAUCUCUUGGUUCCGGCAUCGAUGAAGAACGCAGCGAAAUGCGAUACGUAAUGUGAAUUGCAAAUUCAGUGAAUCAUCGAGUCUUUGAACGCACAUUGCGCCCCCUGGUAUUCCGGGGGGCAUGCCUGUCCGAGCGUCAUUGCUGCCCUCAAGCACGGCUUGUGUGUUGGGCCCCGUCCUCCGAUCCCGGGGGACGGGCCCGAAAGGCAGCGGCGGCACCGCGUCCGGUCCUCGAGCGUAUGGGGCUUUGUCACCCGCUCUGUAGGCCCGGCCGGCGCUUGCCGAUCAACCCAAAUUUUUAUCCAGGUUGACCUCGGAUCAGGUAGGGAUACCCGCUGAACUUAAGCAUAUCAAUAAGCGGAGGAAAAGAAACCAACAGGGAUUGCCCCAGUAACGGCGAGUGAAGCGGCAAGAGCUCAAAUUUGAAAGCUGGCUCCUUCGGGGUCCGCAUUGUAAUUUGUAGAGGAUGCUUCGGGAGCGGUCCCCAUCUAAGUGCCCUGGAACGGGACGUCAUAGAGGGUGAGAAUCCCGUAUGGGAUGGGGUGUCCGCGCCCGUGUGAAGCUCCUUCGACGAGUCGAGUUGUUUGGGAAUGCAGCUCUAAAUGGGUGGUAAAUUUCAUCUAAAGCUAAAUAUUGGCCGGAGACCGAUAGCGCACAAGUAGAGUGAUCGAAAGAUGAAAAGCACUUUGAAAAGAGAGUUAAAAAGCACGUGAAAUUGUUGAAAGGGAAGCGCUUGCGACCAGACUCGCUCGCGGGGUUCAGCCGGCAUUCGUGCCGGUGUACUUCCCCGCGGGCGGGCCAGCGUCGGUUUGGGCGGUCGGUCAAAGGCCCUCGGAAGGUAACGCCCCUAGGGGCGUCUUAUAGCCGAGGGUGCAAUGCGACCUGCCUAGACCGAGGAACGCGCUUCCGCUCGGACCCUGGGAUAAUGGUCGUAAACAACCCGUCUUGAAAACCGGCCAAGGAGUCUACAUCUCCCCCAGGGUUCGGGUGGCAAACCCGUGGCCCAAAUAAAACCAAAAAGAGGUGGGAACCUCCCUG